GGGGCUGAUUCUGGAUUCGACGGGAUUUGCGAAACCCAAGGUGCAUGCCGAGGGGCGGUUGGCCUCGUAAAAAGCCGCAAAAAAUAGUCGCAAACGACGAAAACUACGCUUUAGCAGCUUAAUAACCUGCUCUGAGCCCUCUCUCCCUAGCUUCCGCUCUUAAGACGGGGAUCAAAGAGAGGUCAAACCCAAAAGAGAUCGCGUGGAUGCCCUGCCUGGGGUUG
rnacentral:tmRNA from 1 species